GCAGGCUUAACACAUGCAAGUCGAGCGGGCAUAGCAAUAUGUCAGCGGCAGACGGGUGAGUAACGCGUGGGAACGUACCUUUUGGUUCGGAACAACUGAGGGAAACUUCAGCUAAUACCGGAUAAGCCCUUACGGGGAAAGAUUUAUCGCCGAAAGAUCGGCCCGCGUCUGAUUAGCUAGUUGGUGAGGUAAUGGCUCACCAAGGCGACGAUCAGUAGCUGGUUUGAGAGGAUGAUCAGCCACAUUGGGACUGAGACACGGCCCAAAC
rnacentral:rRNA from 5 species